GGCCUGCUGGCCCAAUGGCAAGGCGCUUGACUACGACUCGCAGGGAUCGAACAUCCCUGAGGUCUGGAAUCAAGAGAUUGCAGGUUCGAUCCCUGCGUAGGUCA
rfam:Sclerotinia sclerotiorum 1980 scaffold_16 genomic scaffold, whole genome shotgun sequence.